rnacentral:rRNA from 1 species
UACGGGGGGAGCAAGCGUUGUUCGGAUUUACUGGGCGUAAAGGGCGCGUAGGCGGUCAGCACAAGUCAGUUGUGAAAUCUCCGGGCUUAACUCGGAAAGGUCAACUGAUACUGUGCGACUAGAGUGCGGAAGGGGCAACUGGAAUUCUUGGUGUAGCGGUGAAAUGCGUAGAUAUCAAGAGGAACACCGGUGGCGAAGGCGGUUCCCUGGGCAUGAUCUGACGCUGAGGAGCGAAAGUGUGGGGAGCGAACAGG